rnacentral:rRNA from 1 species
UGGGGAAUCUUGCACAAUGGGCGCAAGCCUGAUGCAGCAACGCCGCGUGCGGGAAGACGGCCCUAGGGUUGUAAACCGCUUUCAGGAGGGAAGAAAAUGACGGUACCUCCAGAAGAAGGUGCGGCCAACUACGUGCCAGCAGCCGCGUGACACGUAGGCACCAAGCGUUAUCCGGAUUUAUUGGGCGUAAAGAGCUCGUAGGCGGUUCGGUAAGUCGGGUGUGAAAUCCAAGGCUCAACCUUGGGACGCCACCCGAUACUGCUGUGACUCGAGUGCAGUAGGGGAGCAGGGAAUUCCUGGUGUAGCGGUGAAAUGCGCAGAUAUCAGGAGGAACACCAGUGGCGAAGGCGCUGCUCUGGGCUGUAACUGACGCUGAGGAGCGAAAGCAUGGGUAGCAAAACAGGAUUAGAUACCCUGGUAGUCCAUGCCGUAAACGUUGGGCACUAGGUGUGGGUCUCAACCAACGAGAUCCGCGCCGUCGCUAACGCAUUAAGUGCCCCGCCU